CCUAUGGACGGGAAUAACCUCGGGAAACUGAGAAUAAUGCCCGAUAGAACAUUAUGCCUGGAAUGGUUUAUGUUCCAAAUGAUUUAUCGCCGUAGGAUGGGACUGCGGCCUAUCAGUUUGUUGGUGAGGUAAUGGCCCACCAAGACUAUUACAGGUACGGGCUCUGAGAGGAGUAGCCCGGAGAUGGGUACUGAGACACGGACCCAGGCCCUAUGGGGCGCAGCAGGCGAGAAAACUUUGCAAUGUGCGAAAGCACGACAAGGUUAAUCCGAGUGGUUUCUGCUAAAGAAACCUUUUGUCAGUCCUAGAAACACUGAUGAAUAAGGGGUGGGCAAGUUCUGGUGUCAGCCGCCGCGGUAAAACCAGCACCUCAAGUGGUCAGGAUGAUUAUUGGGCCUAAAGCAUCCGUAGCCGGCUCUGUAAGUUUUCGGUUAAAUCUGUACGCUCAACGUACAGGCUGCCGGGAAUACUGCAGAGCUAGGGAGUGGGAGAGGUAGACGGUACUCGGUAGGAAGGGGUAAAAUCCUUUGAUCUAUUGAUGACCACCUGUGGCGAAGGCGGUCUACCAGAACACGUCCGACGGUGAGGGAUGAAAGCUGGGGGAGCAAACCGGAUUAGAUACCCGGGUAGUCCCAGCUGUAAACUAUGCAAACUCAGUGAUGCAUUGGCUUGUGGCCAAUGCAGUGCUGCAGGGAAGCCGUUAAGUUUGCCGCCUGGGAAGUACGUACGCAAGUAUGAAACUCAAAGGAAUUGACGGAAUCA
rnacentral:rRNA from 1 species